GACAGAGGUGGCAAGCGUUGUUCGGAAUUACUGGGCUUAAAGGGCGCGUAGGUGGUGGUAUAAGUCUGGGGUGGAAGGCUGAGGCUUAACCUUGGAAUUGCCUUGGAAACUGUAUCACUUGAGUCAGCGAGGGGAUGGCGGAAUUCCUGGUGUAGCGGUGAAAUGCGUAGAUAUCAGGAGGAAGGCCGGUGGCGAAGGCGGCCAUCUGGCGCUGAACUGACACUGAGGCGCGAAAGCGUGGGGAGCAAACAGGAUUAGAUACCCUGGUAGUCCACGCCCUAAACGGUGGAUACUAGGUGUGGGGCUCGUAAGGGUUCCGUGCCGAAGGUAAACCAUUAAGUAUCCCGCCUGGGGAGUACGGCCGCAAGGUUGAAACUUAAAGGAAUUGACGG
rnacentral:rRNA from 1 species